GUACAGCCAGUUUCAAAAGAUUCUGGAGGGCAAGUAAGUAGUUUCUUUAUGUAACACACUGACCACCCUGUCCCAGCUUAUCAUGUAUUUGAUUUUCUUGGUAUAUCACUUGUAGUUUUCAAAAGCUUUGAAUCACUUCUAGAAAGAGGAUCCUACAUUCCGUGUUGGUUUAGACCCAGAGAGUGGGCAGACUAUCAUUUCUGGAAUGGGAGAACUACAUUUAGAUAUUUAUGUUGAACGUAGUCGAAGAGAGUAUAAGGUUGAUGCAACUAUUGGAAAGCCCCAUGUAAACUUCAGA